rnacentral:rRNA from 1 species
CCUACGGGAGGCAGCAGUGAGGAAUAUUGCGCAAUGGGGGAAACCCUGACGCAGCAACGCCGCGUGGUGAAGAAGGCCUUCGGGUCGUAAAGCCCUUUCGGACGGGACGAAGGCCGGGUGGCGGAAACGUCAUCCGGCUUGACGGUACCGUAGGAAGAAGCACCGGCUAACUCCGUGCCAGCAGCCGCGGUAAUACGGAGGGUGCAAGCGUUGUUCGGAAUUACUGGGCGUAAAGCGCGUGUAGGCGGCCUUGUAAGUCGGAUGGAAAAGCCCUCGGCUAAACCGGGGAAGGGCAUCCGAAACUGCUGGGCUAGAGUGCCGGAGAGGGAGGCGAAAUUCCCAGGGUAGAGGUGAAAUUCGGAGAUAUUGGGAGGAACACCGGGGGCGAAAGCGGCCCCCUGGACGGCUACUGACGCUGAGACGCGAAAGCGUGGGGAGCAAACAGGAUUAGAUACCCCUGUAGU